rnacentral:tRNA from 1 species
GUUUCCGUAGUGUAGUGGUUAUCACGUUCGCCUAUCACCCGAAAGUCCCCGGUUCGAGCCCGGGCGGAAACA